rnacentral:rRNA from 1 species
GACAUAGGUUGCAAACGUUAUCCGGAAUUAUUGGGCGUAAAGAGCUCGUAGGCGGUUUGUUACGUCCGCUGUGAAAACCCAGGGCUUAACCCUGGGCUUGCAGUGGAUACGGGCAGACUAGAGGUAGGUAGGGGAGAAUGGAAUUCCCGGUGUAGCGGUGAAAUGCGCAGAUAUCGGGAGGAACACCGGUGGCGAAGGCGGUUCUCUGGGCCUUACCUGACGCUGAGGAGCGAAAGCGUGGGGAGCGAACAGG